UAAGACAAUUAAGUUAUAUUAAGACAAUGUCUUAAUCAUAAUAUAUAUUUUAUUUAUUUGAAUGGAAAGUUUUUUAGUUUGUUGUGGAACUAGACUAGAAAUUACCUAAUAAGCUUCUCAUAACUUGUGUAAUGUGUUUCUUUUACGAAUUUGUAUAUUGGUAUAAUCAUAUCAUGCUAUUCCUACAAUAUUAUAACUAACACUGAGUCUCAAAAGUUUGAGUCUCAAGUCACGAAAAAGGGCCAACUCUCACGUGUUGGCGGAAAGUUAGCAAAAUAUGUUAAGGAUAUAAUUCAGAGAUAAUGUUGCUAAACGAUUUACAGUCGAUAAUCUUUCGAAAGCAGAAAAACUCAGUGUCAAACAAAGAAUACGCGAAUUAUUUGAGAUAUGAUUGAAAUUUGCAAA
rnacentral:lncRNA from 1 species